rnacentral:lncRNA from 1 species
AUGUUAAUUGAGCAAUCUGCAUCUUCUAGUGCACAGCUUGUGGAAAUAUGUCACAUUUCUGUGGUGCAGCAGAGUGGGAGGCAGAAAAUCUGGAUCUUAUUACCAGUUUGGCCAUGGUCUUCCUAUGUGAACAUGGUAUGGAUUCUUCUGGGCAACCUGAAGCUUCUCUGUGCAGCGAAAAAGUGGCUACAGCUGCUCAUGCUCAUGCUCACGCUCAUACCACCCAGAUGUCCUGGGAUGUGGCUGCAUGGCAGCCCAGACCUGCUCUUCAACAGCUCCUCAGCUACAGGUCCCUGA